rnacentral:rRNA from 1 species
CAGUAGCCACGGUAAUACGAAGGGUGCAAGCGUUAAUCGGAAUUACUGGGCGUAAAGCGUGCGUAGGCGGUUUGUUAAGUCUGUUGUGAAAUCCCCGGGCUCAACCUGGGAAUGGCAAUGGAUACUGGCAAGCUAGAGUGUGGUAGAGGAUAGUGGAAUUUCCGGUGUAGCAGUGAAAUGCGUAGAGAUCGGAAGGAACAUCUGUGGCGAAGGCGGCCAUCUGGGACAACACUGACGCUGAGGCACGAAAGCGUGGGGAGCAAACAGGAUUAGAUACCCCCGUAGUCCCUGUCUCUUAUAA